UACGUAGGGGGCAAGCGUUGUCCGGAAUCAUUGGGCGUAAAGAGCGCGUAGGCGGCCCUGUAAGUCCGCUGUGAAAGUCAAGGGCUCAACCCUUGAAUGCCGGUGGAUACUGCAGGGCUAGAGUCCGGAAGAGGCGAGUGGAAUUCCUGGUGUAGCGGUGAAAUGCGCAGAUAUCAGGAGGAACACCAAUAGCGAAGGCAGCUCGCUGGGACGGUACUGACGCUAAGGCGCGAAAGCGUGGGGAGCGAACAGG
rnacentral:rRNA from 1 species